UCCGUGGCUACAGGACGAACGCUGGCGGCGUGCCUAAUACAUGCAAGUCGAGCGGAGUUGAUGAGGUGCUUGCACCUCUGAUGCUUAGCGGCGGACGGGUGAGUAACACGUAGGCAACCUGCCUGUAAGACCGGGAUAACUACCGGAAACGGUAGCUAAGACCGGAUACGCCUUGGGGUCGCAUGACGCCAAGGGGAAAGACGGAGAAAUCUGUCACUUACAGAUGGGCCUGCGGCGCAUUAGCUAGUUGGUGGGGUAACGGCCCACCAAGGCGACGAUGCGUAGCCGACCUGAGAGGGUGAUCGGCCACACUGGGACUGAGACACGGCCCAGACUCCUACGGGAGGCAGCAGUAGGGAAUCUUCCGCAAUGGACGCAAGUCUGACGGAGCAACGCCGCGUGAGUGAUGAAGGUCUUCGGAUCGUAAAGCUCUGUUGCCAAGGAAGAACGGCCGGUAGGUAACUACUACCGGAGUGACGGUACUUGAGAAGAAAGCCCCGGCUAACUACGUG
rnacentral:rRNA from 1 species